rnacentral:rRNA from 1 species
ACGCUUGACACCUACGGGAGCAGCAGUGAGGAAUAUUGGUCAAUGGGCGCAGGCCUGAACCAGCCAAGUAGCGUGAAGGAUGACUGCCCUAUGGGUUGUAAACUUCUUUUAUAUGGGAAUAAAGUUUUCCACGUGUGGAAUUUUGUAUGCACCAUAUGAAUAAGGAUCGGCUAACUCCGUGCCAGCAGCCCCGGUAAUCUGAGCGGGCUGGCAAGGC